AGCGAACGCUGGCGGCAGGCCUAACACAUGCAAGUCGAACGCCGUAGCAAUACGGAGUGGCAGACGGGUGAGUAACACGUGGGAACGUACCCUUCGGUUCGGGAUAACUCAGGGAAACUUGAGCUAGUACCGGAUACGUCCGAGAGGAGAAAGAUUUAUCGCCGAGGGAUCGGCCCGCGUCUGAUUAGCUUGUUGGUGAGGUAACGGCUCACCAAGGCGACGAUCAGUAGCNGGUCUGAGAGGAUGAUCAGCCACAUUGGGACUGAGACACGGCCCAAACUCCUACGGGAGGCAGCAGUGGGGAAUAUUGGACAAUGGGCGCAAGCCUGAUCCAGCCAUGCCGCGUGAGUGAUGAAGGCCCUAGGGUUGUAAAGCUCUUUUACCCGGGAAGAUAAUGACUGUACCGGGAGAAUAAGCCCCGGCUAACUUCGUGCCAGCAGCCGCCGUAAU
rnacentral:rRNA from 1 species